AGCAGCAUGGCUCAGUGGAAAGAGCACGGGCUUGGGAGUCAGAGGUCAUGGGUUCAAAUCCCAGCUCUGCCA
rfam:Ornithorhynchus anatinus chromosome 7, whole genome shotgun sequence.